AUGGAGAGUUUGAUCCUGGCUCAGGACGAACGCUGGCGGCGUGCUUAACACAUGCAAGUCGAACGAGAAGAGAUGAGAAGCUUGCUUCUUAUCGAUUCGAGUGGCAAACGGGUGAGUAACGCGUAAGCAACCUGCCUCUAGAUGGGGACAACAGCUGGAAACGGCUGCUAAUACCGAAUACGUUCUUUCUGCCGCAUGGCAGAAGGAAGAAAGGGAGGCUCUUCGGAGCUUUCGCUGGAGGAGGGGCUUGCGUCUGAUUAGCUAGUUGGAGGGGUAACGGCCCACCAAGGCGACGAUCAGUAGCCGGUCUGAGAGGAUGAACGGCCACAUUGGGACUGAGACACGGCCCAGACUCCUACGGGAGGCAGCAGUGGGGAAUCUUCCGCAAUGGACGAAAGUCUGACGGAGCAACGCCGCGUGAACGAUGACGGCCUUCGGGUUGUACUGA
rnacentral:rRNA from 1 species